UUAAUUGAAACCAAAAAGAGGUAUAUCAUUGUUAAUGAUAAAAGUGAAAUUUAUUCCAAUUAAA
rnacentral:tRNA from 1 species